ensembl:lncRNA
GAGGGCCCAGGCCAUUCAGGCCACUCUGUUUGCCAAAUAAAAUAUUAGGCAUUCCUCCCAGAUCAUGCUGGCUGCUGGCUAGAGAAGGACUGGAGGAGGCAAGAAUGGAGAGCCUGUUUUGGAUGGCUAGUGUGGUCCUCCAGGCAGGAGCGGGUGGCAGCUGGAGGAGAGCGGAGGCCGGGCCUGGAGAGAAGAGUGGAUGUGAGGUAAGCGUGGGAGGCUAAGCAGAGCACUGGCUCUGAGAUUUGUAACAAAGGCCCAGUGGGUCUCCUGGAUCCCUUAGAGCUGGUCAGCCAGGCGCAUGUCCUGAGCACUGGGGACUGUCUCACUGGCUGGAUGACCUAGAUAACCUUGGCAAUUCUCUGAUGGCUGGAUGGUUCCAAGGUCCCUCCUGAUGGUCAUCAAGCCCUCCCUGCCUCCUCCCACGUCCCGCGGGUCUCUGAUCCUGGUUGCAGGGUUUCCUUCCUUGGGGGUCGCUGAAGCACUUCCAGGCUGCCCCACAUCUUGGUCCUGCAACAUUCCUUUACUGUGGAUGGCUUAUUCCCCAACUACCUCGCUGGACAAGGAACUCUAAGCUGGGGUCAAUGUUGUGUCCUGCCCCCCAGGCCCAUCCCAAGCCUUGGCUUUCAAUUGGGCAGGUCCUGACCACACAGCUGGUGCCCACUCCCCUCAGCGUAGGUGCCAGCACAGGCCAACUCCACACCCACGUGCACACGUUCCCAGGGGUCCUGGCUUCGGAGCACCUGUGAUGCUGGGAGAACACCAGGACCCAAAGUCCAAGUUCUCUGUGCUUGACUGCACUCCCCUCCUGGAGAAGUCUCAGCAUCUGCUCACACAUCCCCCCACGAGCAGAGGCACAGGGAAGGUCACGAGCCAGCCGAGGCUGGAGGCAGACCCUGAGAGCUCAUCCUCUGGUCUAAGUCCUGUUUCCUUGAUCUGCAGGUUCCGUAGCCAUGGGGCAGACCUGGCACUGAGAGCAAUAGUGUUCCUUGGUGACGGCUGGGAGUGGCAAAAGAACCUCCCAGGGCAGCAUUGUCCUUCUGCACCAACCAACGUCUGGCCCCAACACACGACAGUACCCACCCGGGCUCCCCUGCCACCCAGCGAGCAGCCAGGCAGUUCCACCUCCCUGAUCCGUGGAGCCCAUGGUGGGAACUGCACCUCAGGCUUCCUUCAUGUCAAAAUGACUGGCAUCUUUGUUUCACACACUGUGCACUGCUGUGGCUUGGUUCUCUACGGCCCUCUGUCCUGGCGGCAUAGCUUCAAGAGCGUCAGGCUCCCUCGUAUAACUGUGAGCUGGGUCUGCAUGGUUUCUCAGCUGCCACGAACACCUGCCCCUUGAACAAUGAAUGCGAAUGGGGCGGGGCAAGUUUCCAUCACCUUGGUGAGUUCUCCUCCUGUAGGCUCUGUGUGCACACGCACGGGUGCGCACGGCCUUAACCACGGAAUGAGCAGAAAGCACAAGUCCCCAAAACACAGCUGCCAGAGACACCCAAGUGUCUGCAAACCAGUGGCUUGUCAAAGACUUUCUCUUCUCUCCCCCAAGCGCAGCAUGUCAGAUUACUCUCACAGCUCGGGAAGCUUCGAGGAAGAG